rnacentral:tRNA from 1 species
GGUUCGUUGGCCCAAUGGCAAGGCGUCUGACUACGAUUUCUUCAAGAAAAAGGCAUCAGGAGAUUGCAGGUUCGAUCCCUGCACGAAUCA